GCCCCCAUCGUCUAGCGGCCCAGGACGAAGCCCUCUCAAGGCUUAAACAGGGGUUCGAGUCCCCUUGGGGGCAC
rnacentral:tRNA from 1 species